CCUACGGGAGGCAGCAGUGAGGAAUAUUGGUCAAUGGGCGCGAGCCUGAACCAGCCAAGUCGCGUGAGGGAAGACGGCCCUACGGGUUGUAAACCUCUUUUGCCGGGGAGCAACGGGCGUCACGUGUGGCGCAACUGAGAGUACCCGGAGAAAAAGCAGCGGCUAAAUCCGUGCCAGCAGCCGCGGUAAUACGGGGGAUGCAAGGGUUAGCCGGAUUUGUUGGGUUUAAAGGGUGCGUAGGCUGGGAGGUAAGUCAGCGGUGAAAUGCCACCGCUCAACGGUGUGAAGUGCCAUGGAUACUGGCUGGCUGGAGUGCCGAUGCGGUGGGAGGAAUGUGUGGUGUAGCGGUGAAAUGCAUAGAUAUCACACAGAACACCGAUUGCGAAGGCAUCUUACGAAGCCGCGAUUGACGCUGAGGCACGAAAGCGUGGGUAUCAAACAGGAUUAGAUACCCUAGUAGUC
rnacentral:rRNA from 1 species